rnacentral:rRNA from 1 species
AUGGAUUUUGCAAAGACACACAUAAAGGAAGCUUUGACACAUAAGCCAAACCUCCUAGGUCAAGUGGUAGCUAUUGUUGAUAAGAGGUGGGAUAAUCAGAUGGAACAAAAGCUACAUGGGGCUUCUUUGUUCUUGAACCCAAAUAAAUUCUUUGCCAUUAAGGAGUCCAACAAAAGACAAGCUUCCCGUCUCCGUUCAAUGUUCAAUGAUGUGCUAUGGAAGAUGGUGCCCGAUGAUGAGCAGCAAAGAACUAUAAGUAGGGAAGCUGACGACUAUGAGCUGGGGAGUGAAUGUUUCUCGAAGCCAUUGUUAAUUAAAGUAUGUGACAAAAAAACCCUCGUAAGCAUAAAUUUUAUGGCAGCUUGUGUCUUCUUGUUCAGCUCAAUUACUCCACUAAUUGCUAGUUUUUGUGGCCUUAUCUUUAAUGUGGGACUUCUUGGUUUUGUAGUUCUUUGGUGGAAUGCUUAUGGUGGCCUUGCUUUUGACCUCCAAACUCUUGCAAAGCGAAUCAUUAGUCUAUGUUGUUCAGCAUCCGGCUGCGAGCGCAAUUGGAGUGUAUUUGCUCAUGUAAGUAGCCAUUAG